GACGUAGGGCGCAAGCGUUGUCCGGAUUUAUUGGGCGUAAAGAGCUCGUAGGAGGUUUGGUAAGUUGGAUGUGAAAUCUCCAGGCUCAACUUGGAGGGGUCAUUCGAUACUGCCAUGACUAGAGUUCGGUAGGGGAGUGUGGAAUUCCUGGUGGAGCGGUGAAAUGCGCAGAUAUCAGGAGGAACACCGAUGGCGAAGGCAGGUCUCUGGGCCACUACUGACGCUGAGAAGCGAAAGCAUGGGGAGCGAACAGG
rnacentral:rRNA from 1 species